rnacentral:rRNA from 1 species
AUUGAACGCUGGCGGCAGGCCUAACACAUGCAAGUCGAACGAGUGGCGGACGGGUGAGUAAUGUCUGGGAAACUGCCUGAUGGCGGGGGAUAACUACUGGAAACGGUAGCUAAUACCGCAUACCAUCAGAUGUGCCCAUAUGGGAUUAGCUAGUUGGUUGGGUAACGGCUCACCAAGGCGAAGAUCCCUAGCUGGUCUGAGAGGUUGACCAGCCACACGGGACAUGAGACACGGUCCAGACUCCUACGGGAGGCAGCAGUGGGGAAUAUUGAAAAAUGGGCGCAAGCCUGAUGCAGCAAUGCCGCGUGUAUGAAGAAGGCCUUAGGGUUGUAAAGUACUUUCAGCGGGGAGGCGUUACCCGCAGAAGAAGCACCGGCUAACUCCGUGCCAGCAGCCGCGGUAAUAC